UACUAGAGUAGCACUCGCAUAUCAAUAAGCGGAGGAAAAGAAACUAACAAGGAUUCCCCUAGUAACGGCGAGUGAAGCGGGAAGAGCUCAAAUUUGAAAUCUUAAAGGGUUUCCCUUUACGAAUUGUAGUUCAAAGAAGUGUUUUCUGUUGAGGUUUUGGUAAAAGUUCUUUGGAAUAGGACAUCAUAGAGGGUGAGAAUCCCGUAUUUGACCUUUACUUUCAACUUUGUGAUACACUUUCAAAGAGUCAGAUUGUUUGGGAAUGCAGUCCAAAAUGGGUGGUAAAUUUCAUCUAAAGCUAAAUAUUGGCGAGAGACCGAUAGCGAACAAGUACCGUGAGGGAAAGAUGAAAAGGACUUUGAAAAGAGAGUUAAACAGUACGCGAAAUUGUCAAAAGGGAAGCGUUUGACACCAGUGUUGUUUUUCUGAAAAUCAAUUAAAGAACUGUUUAUGCUAAGUUGUUUAGACUUUAUCAGCUAUACUGCUUAGUUUUGAGCUUUUCUUUAAUGCACUUUUCAGUUAACAAGUCAACAUCAAUUCCUUUUGCUGUAAAAAAGCUUGAGGAAGGUGGCUUGAGAUUCGUCUUAAGUGUUUAUAGCCUCUUGCCUAUGCAGUCGGAGAGAUUGAGGUCUGCAGCGUAGAUCCUUCGGGGCUAAAUGCAUUUGUGCUAAGUUAUAGGCAUUUUAUAGACAACUUGUUGACUAUGAUUUGUCUUGUAGCUUACUCGCUUAUGUUAUUUUACCUACGCUUAGGAUGUUGAACUCUAUCACACACAG
rnacentral:rRNA from 1 species